CAAAUUGGACGGAAAUUGAAGGCUGUGCGCAAGGGGAAGGACUUUUUGCAUAAAUAGACCAUUUUAGGCGCAAAAGGCUCCCCCCACCCUUCUUACACGGUAUCGUUUUGCUUAAUAUUUGAAACUAAAAGCCAUUGAAUGGCAGCUUACUAUUCCCUUUUUUUUUUCGCCAUAAGCAGUAGACCCAAUUCUUAGGGUUUCAACACAGCAAAUUUUGGGGUUUUCCCAUCCCCCCAUUUGACCAUUCGACUGCCCCAUUCCACCAUUGAAAUUGAUGGACGGUGGCUCCCCAUGGAGUCGUUUCAUUCUCCUACUCUAAGCCUCAGCUCUAAAGAAAACAUAUGAAACACGAAAGGAAGAUGAAACAGAUGCAGAAAAAAAAGAAGAAACACAAGGCGUUCGGAAAAAAAAUCACCUUCUAGUUCUAUUCUGAUUUCUCUUUAUCGCGGAUUGCGUAAAUAUCUGUUUUUUUGUGUAACUGAUUACAAGGAUUAAAAUUUCGGCUUUAUAGCCGAAGAAAAAAAAGAAAAUCAAAAUAAAAAAUACAAUAUUUCUAUUUUGUUUGCAUUCGCUGCUGUUCUGCCUCGUUUGUUUGCAGGUACGGAGGUAUGGAGCCAGCUGUGGGGAUAUGUGGCACUUGACGUGGGGCGUACGGAGGCGUUGAAGGCGGUCGUACGGCGCGAGGGCUGGGAUCGUCUGCGGUUGCGGCGCAAAUGUGAGGAGGAAACCCUAGAGUUUCUUUGUUUAGGCAUUUGGGUUUAUUGGGCCUAUUUUUGGGUCAGGUCUAGGUUUAGGAGUUUUAAUUUUGGGUUUAGGGUCAUGUAUUAAUUUUAGGUUUUGGACUGUUAAAAGGACUUUUAAUUAAUGGACUGUUUCAUUUAUUGUA